AUAAUGACUCUCGGCAACGGAUAUCUCGGCUCUUGCAUCGAUGAAGAACGUAGCGAAAUGCGAUACUUGGUGUGAAUUGCAGAAUCCCGUGAACCAUCGAGUCUUUGAACGCAAGUUGCGCCCGAAGCCAUUAGGCUGAGGGCACGCCUGCCUGGGUGUCACAC
rnacentral:rRNA from 1 species